rnacentral:misc_RNA from 1 species
UCCCAAGAUGAAGGCGACCAAGAACGGAGGUCAGCUGCUCAUCGCUCCUUCGCCGCAGACCGCUGCCCGCCUGCUGCCCCUGCGCACGUACUCCAACGCCUCCUCGCUGGGCCACCACCACGACAGGAGUACUCUGUCCGACGGCGACGAGGAGGAGGGCGGCCUUGGCUACACCCACACACUGAUGUAUGGUCGCUAUACCAAAGAUCUAGGAGAAUUUGCCAAGGAUGAAGCCAGAAAGCUCAAAAUACUCGAAAAGCGACGAAAGCAGGAAGAUAAGCAAAGGAAUAAGUGCUGGGAAAUAUUUACAGGAACUGCUGGGCAAACACUCGACCCGGGCGAAGCGGGUGUCAUCAUGGAUUUGGAGGCACACGGUGGCCCGGCUGGGCGAGGAUUGGGUCUUCCUGGCGCUGCUGGGCAUCAUUAUGGCCAUGCUCUCGUUCAUCAUGGACAAGGGCAUAUCCAUAUGUACAAACGCGCGAAUUUGGCUGUAUCGCGAUCUGACGUCACAGCCUUUUGUUCAGUACAUCGCAUGGGUCUCACUGCCGGUCUGUUUGAUAUUGUUCUCGGCCGGCUUUGUCCAUCUCAUCGCACCGCAGAGUAUAGGUUCUGGUAUACCCGAAAUGAAGACCAUACUGCGCGGCGUUCAAUUGAAAGAGUAUCUCACAUUUAAGACACUAGUGGCCAAGGUAAUUGGUUUAACGGCAACUCUGGGCAGCGGUAUGCCAUUAGGAAAGGAAGGUCCUUUCGUACAUAUAGCAAGUAUUGUAGCACAAUUAUUAAGUAAACUUGUCACAUCAUUCCAAGGCAUAUAUGAGAAUGAGUCCCGAAAC